rnacentral:rRNA from 1 species
CCUACGGGAUGCAGCAGUGAGGAAUCUUGGUCAAUGGGCGCGAGCCUGAACCAGCCAAGUAGCGUGAAGGAUGACUGCCCUACGGGUUGUAAACUUCUUUUAUAAAGGAAUAAAGUGAGGCACGUGUGCCCUUUUGUAUGUACUGUAUGAAUAAGGACCGGCUAAUUCCGUGCCAGCAGCCGCGGUAAUACGGAGGAUCCGAGCGUUAUCCGGUUUGAUUGGAUUUAAAGGGAGAGUAGAUGGGUUGUUAAGUCAGUUGUGAAAGUUUGCGGCUCAACAGUAAAAUUGCAAUUGAUACUGGCAGUCUUGAGUACAGUGGAGGUAGGCGGAAUUCGUGGUGUAGCGGUGAAAUGCUUAGAUAUCACGAAGAACUCCGAUUGCGAAGGCAGCUUACUAAACUGCCACUGACAUUGAUGCUCGAAAGUGUGGGUAUCAAACAGGAUUAGAUACCCCAGUAGUC